rnacentral:snRNA from 1 species
AGCUUUGUACAGUGGCAGUAUCAUAGCCAAUGAGGUUUAUCUGAGGCAUGAUUAUUGCUAAUUGAAAACUUUAUUUCUUGCG